rnacentral:lncRNA from 1 species
AAAAUAAAAUAAAAUGGCUCUGUGCUUAUGCUACCUUUACAAGGGAUGCAAGUCAUGAAAAGAUUCAGUUGAACACAAAGCAGGACCAUGUAAUAAAAGAACUCCAUAUUGUAAAUACAAAUAACAAACCAGCUGCAAACUUUACAUAUACAUACAAUCUGAGAAAACAUGCCACAGCAGAUUCAGUCUACUGUCAACAUGCAAGCAUAUACAUUCGUAAACUGAACUCUGCAUAAAAGAACUCGACUUCAUUUAAACGAGCUUCUGCAUUCUAUCCGCUUAUAUCAUAUACUCACGCAAAGGAGAGAAAUUCUAGCAACUUAAAUCCGUUAGAAGCUGCCACACUCUUAUACACAGGACGAGUAUUUUACUGUUGGUUGUAGUUGGCAUGAGGAAGUUGCAAAGAUUUCCUGUUGACCCUGCAGUUAUAACCAUUCAAAAUGAGACGCAAGUUGGAAUCAAAUGGAAGCGUAAAAAUGCUGGUACUAGAUAGAAAAACAGUUCAACUACCUAUUUAACUUUCUAUACAGAUGGAAUUGCAUCCCUGCGCUUAUCAGCAUGGAGAUUAAUAAAAGGGGCUACUAGAUUUAACCCUCAACAGUAUCCACGGCAUAUGAUGAGAUUAUUCUUCUCUGCAUCAAUCAUCAAGAGAAAAAAGAAAUGAUUAACAUGAGUAGGAGAUAAUAUCUUCUCCAGCACCAACGCGGAGCUAGUCAUUCACCAAAGGCAGGAAUUGCUCCUCAGAACCAUAUCUUAUUAGCAAUUUUAUGUAUUUUUAAGAAAAAGAGUCUCACAGUGCGCUAUUAUGGAAGCUUGAACCGCUUAAUUGAAAAAAACAUAGUCAUUAUUACUUUCCUUCUUGGCAUAAGGAUUAGAAUGUUGAAUCUUGCCUCUUAGUAAAAACCCAAAUCCACGCUUAUUGAUUCAUUUAUUGGGGGAGACCAGGGAGCCCGUGCCACCUUGUGCGCACACAAAAAGGUCUCCUACUCACUGGAACUACAUGCUUAUCCA